GACGAACGCUGGCGGCGUGCUUAACACAUGCAAGUCGUACGGUAAGGCCCUUUCGGGGGUACACGAGUGGCGAACGGGUGAGUAACACGUGAGUAACCUGCCCACAACUUUGGGAUAACGCUAGGAAACUGGUGCUAAUACUGGAUAUGUGCUCCUGCUGCAUGGUGGGGGUUGGAAAGCUCCGGCGGUUGUGGAUGGACUCGCGGCCUAUCAGCUUGUUGGUGGGGUAGUGGCCUACCAAGGCGGCGACGGGUAGCCGGCCUGAGAGGGUGACCGGCCACAUUGGGACUGAGAUACGGCCCAGACUCCUACGGGAGGCAUCAGUGGGGAAUAUUGCACAAUGGGCGCAAGCCUGAUGCAGCAACGCCGCGUGCGGGAUGACGGCCUUCGGGUUGUAAACCGCUUUCAGCAGGGACGAAGCUUUUUGUGACGGUACCUGCAGAAGAAGCACCGGCUAACUACGUG
rnacentral:rRNA from 1 species